rnacentral:rRNA from 1 species
UAGGGAAUCUUCGGCAAUGGACGGAAGUCUGACCGAGCAACGCCGCGUGAGUGAAGAAGGUUUUCGGAUCGUAAAGCUCUGUUGUAAGAGAAGAACGAGUGUGAGAGUGGAAAGUUCACACUGUGACGGUAUCUUACCAGAAAGGGACGGCUAACUACGUGCCAGCAGCCGCGGUAAUACGUAGGUCCCGAGCGUUGUCCGGAUUUAUUGGGCGUAAAGCGAGCGCAGGCGGUUAGAUAAGUCUGAAGUUAAAGGCUGUGGCUUAACCAUAGUACGCUUUGGAAACUGUUUAACUUGAGUGCAAGAGGGGAGAGUGGAAUUCCAUGUGUAGCGGUGAAAUGCGUAGAUAUAUGGAGGAACACCGNCCCGGUGGCGAAAGCGGCUCUCUGGUCUGUAACUGACGCUGAGGCUCGAAAGCGUGGGGAGCGAACAGGAUUAGAUACCCUGGUAGUCCACGCCGCAAACGAUGAGUGCUAGGUGUUGGAUCCUUUCCGGGAUUCAGUGCCGCAGCUAACGCAUUAAGCACUCCGCCUGGGGAGUACGACCGCAAGGUUG